GUAUCAGAAUUAUGGUUUGAAAAGUGUAAUAGUAAAAGAGACAUAUGCUAUUAUGUUAAAACAUGCAUCACAAUAGUAGCUUACCUUGUUAGGUUUACUUGCUAAGUGAUGACAUAGAAAACCUCUUCAUUCUCUUUGUGCUUAUUUUAUAAGAACUGUACUAUGAGUAAUUAAUAACUUCAUUACAAGUAUCUUGACUUUUCUAUUCACCUUUCCCUUCUCUGAACUUUCAGAGGGAAUUAAAACCCUCUAUGAUGUGUCGGCUGAUCCUCUUAUCAUUUGUUAAGCUAAUCUUACUAGAAUAUGCAACAGAAGUCUUUUCUUUCUUUUAUGCUCUUCUCCCCCUAGACUGAUUGCAGAGAAUUUGUAGACUUAAUCACUCCUAAACUUGCUGAAAAGAAAAAGCAGUCCCACGGUGUCUGAAGUGACAGUGUACAGAUGCACUAUUUGGGCCUUUUGUCACUGGUGCAGUUGUGUAACCAAGGUAAAAUUGUAGUUAAAUAAAAAAAGGAAUGAACCAGUGGAAAAUAAAGUGAAAAAUCUCAACUACUUGGAAUGUUAGAGCAUAGUAAAAUGUGGAGAAAGUAAUUUGGUAAUUUAUGUAGAAGAACUACAUACAUUGCUAUGAAUUUGAACUAAGAACUACUGUCCUGACAGACUUGAGGAUAACAGCUAGAAGGAAUGUUGCCUGGGAAUAUCACAACCAGAGUCUUCAUAUAAGAUGAAUUGCAAAUUCUAGAUUCUCUACUUGUUCCCAAAAAGCGAGAUCCUAUCUGACUGCUAGGGGAAAGAAACUAAAACACAUUAUAACAUUUUGAUACCAACAUUUGUUCAUGGAAAGAGCAAGAACUGAGAGAAUUCUGAAAGGCUGUCCCUAUGGAAGAAACAGAUUUUCUUUAGAGGGAAUCUUUACAUUACAGACAUUUUUCAGGCCCAGUUGUGCCAUCUGGUAUGGACUGCAUGCAACUGGUCGUGUAUUUAGAGAUCUCUAGCGAUUAAUAUUUUUUCUAUGCCAAAGUCAAGAAGUUGGGUGGCCCAUUUCUGAAAAGCUGUGCCAAGGCUUACACCUGCCACUGGGAACUUCAUCAGCCAUGGAGUCCGAAAGGAAGAGAAUAAGUCAGCAGCCACUGCUCAGCCAGGACAAAACCAUAAACUCCUAAUUGCAGCAAUCAACCUACUUACCAAAGAAGGUUGCAAUGGCUGUGGCCUUCAUGGUGAGUAAAGCAAAAUCUGGGUGCGUCACUAAGAAGCACUGAAAAGGAAAAGAAGAGCUCAUCAGGCUGUGUUCAGAAGUAUCGCAGAUGACUCUGGAACGGUGGGGAAAGAGGGACUGUGUUCUUUUUUGAUCUUUCACAGUCCUCACAUGCUGCAUCCUCUUCUCAUGCUGUAGAACAGCUGAUAUCCCCAGAGGAGAUGGUGCUUCAGCUGUGGCACUCCCAUGGACUGUUUUUUUUACUUCUGUCCAAAAUUUGCCUUUUUCCUCAGGAAACCAAGAUUUCAUUCACGUACUUAUUUCUGAAGCCAGUGUCAGGAGACAGUAUGAUGGGCACAGACAUGCUCUGAGGGCUACUCAAGUCUGUUCACUACUCUUCAAGACAUAAUCACAGAAUCUUAUUGUCUACACAUCAAACCUCACCAUGUAAUCCCAUGUAGAUAUGAGGAACAUAAAUAAGUCCAUUCAGUCCUGAAGGAUGUUGCGUAAAGUAUUUUGCAAUGGUUCCAUCUUUUCUGAGCCAAAUUACUGGUUUCUUCCCUUUUCUGAGGAUGUGUGUCCAUGUGCAUGUACGUGAGCACCUGAGAUUAAGAGGACUCUGUCAGAACAUCUGGGAAACAUUUUUUUCUGGGUCUGCAUAAGUGGUUCAUGACCCCUGCCAUCCCUGAAGCUCUUGGCCAGGCUACAAGACUGCAUGCUUAUCAGAGAUAACUCCUCCUCUCAGCUCCUCCUGAGCAUCACCUGCUGCUUUUGCUGUUAUUUGGUGAUUGUUGAGGGAAUCCUACGUUGGGCGCUCAUAAUUAAUCACAGUCAUUAAAGUACUAUAUAAUGCUUGACAAAUCAGAGUAAAAAGUUUGAAAGGGAGAAAAUAUUUUUGUGUUGUACAGGGAAAAGCUUGAGAAUCAAAAUAAACCUGAUUUUCAAAGAAACUUAUUACAUGCUUACAAAUGGAAAGAUUUAUACUAAAAUAAAAACUAGCUUGCUAUCAAGAAAGAAAAUACACGGAAUGUUAUAGCUGCAAAUUAUCAGGAAAAGCAACAUAUCUGCCUCCUGGAAAAAAGGCAGAGGCAGAUUUCACAUAGCAAUUCAUGUACUCAGAAGCAGGGCUUUGGUUGUCCCAGAAAGAAAUUUAGACUAACAAGGCAGAUACAGGAGAGAAACAGAAAAAAAAAAUCCCCUAUCUUCAUUUAAAAUGUUUCCACAUUUUUUUACUUUAAUUAUUCUUCUUUUUCAAGCAAGCCACGUCCUUCUAAGGCAAGGAUGACUAAAAUAGUAUGCUAGAUUAAACUGAGUUCAUCCAGUUCUAGAUCUAUAUAAUUUAUAACCCUUUUUACAUGGAGCAGAUGCACCUCUGAUUUUUGCUUCCCUGCUACAGUCAGAGAACUUCAAAUGCCAGGACAUACUAACAGUAUCACUUCCCAAUAGCAUUAUGUCUUUCCUUGGUGAUCUCCGUAAAACAGUCCUCCUGCUAAGGUUGCUAAACCUGAAAGCAACAGGGGUUGCUCAGAAGACACUGAACUGAAUCCUGGAGGCAUGGAAAGUGGUUCAAAAUGGUAACUGUGUCUUUCUGAAAAAUGAUGGGUUGUGCAGUUGGGGUGACCUGGGGCUGUACAAGCCAUAGCAGCAAGAGCAGUUAUGUGGUAAUAUUCUGCUGUCACAGUUAGUUUCUAUCAAAAAACUUCGCUCAACGUCUAAAAGAAAAAUCCAUUUUAAGCAUUUACCGCAGUGUAUUUCCACUGUGAAACUGCUAAAGAAACUAGUAAUAAACUAUAGAAGAGAGUUCAGAGAAACUUAGGUCAGAUGCUUUUCUCCUUACUUAUGUGUCUCAACCCAUCAACACAGCAGAGGUAUUAAAAAAUUACGUCCUUGCAAUGAGUUCUCACUUUAGGUCAAUCCCAGAAAAAGAAGAGGCAGAAUUGGAGAUGCAAAUUAUUUGCAGAAACACCAUGCACCAUUAAAGACUGUACUGGCACUGGCUUAGGCUUUGGGAAAGGCAUCUUAAUAUGAACAUUCCCCAAAUUUGCAGCAAAUAAAUUCAGCAGCGGCAUCUUUAUUUAAAGACAAAGAGAGCUGUGAGAAUGUGUCCUGACAGUAUUUGGUGUGGUGCUGAGAUGUUCUCGUCUCUUUUUUAAUUAGAGUAGAAUAGAUCUAAGAUGAUAGAGAAUCCAUGUAAAAGCUGGCUUCAUGGGUCUGUUGCUGUGCUCUGUGGAGAGAGUCCAAUGCUAUUUGACUUUUCCUGUCUCACAAAACAUAUAACAAUCUGUACCACCAGUGCUGCACAACACUUCCCAUUGCUUCCAGGAGUCUCUGAUGUCCCCGAGCCCUAUUGCCCCCAGGCCACGGUCUGCUGCCCCAGGAGCUAUCCCAGUCCUCCUGGGUGGCACUACCCUAGGCUUGGCUGCAAUUGCAAUCUCUACGUGGUCUGCUGGUGGGCAUUUGCUUUUCAAGGCAACAGCAAGUGGGCUUUUUUCAUAAAAUAUUAUGAAUUUAUUGCAGAAAGAGGCCAAAAAAUCUAAUUGGGUUUAAUAUGUAAAGCCCGUAAGGGGCAAAUGAGUUCAGCAGACCCGUUAGCCUGCAAUAACAGAUGCUUAUCAAUAAGAGAGCUAAAAGAAGCAUUUAGUCAAGGCUGUUAGAUUUACUUAGAAGAUUUGUUGUCAUAGCUACACAGAAAAUCAUCUUAUUGUGGACUCUGUACUUUUGCUGGUGCAGUUAAUACUAGUAUCCUGAUGGAAAUAAAUUGUAAUAGUAAAGAAACUUAUUUUUGCCACUAUAUUAGGCACUGGUAUAUCAGGAAGAAGUGCAUAGGCAUGACAGUACUCCAAGGGGGGUCCUGGCCUUUAGACCUUGGGCUGUCACAUGGGCAAAUGUGCAGGAGGAUUUACAUUGCUGACUAUUAAGUAACAGGCAUAGAAGCUCCAAGCUUUCUGUUGUGGGAAGUCUGUGUGCAUUCAUUGUAUGUGGGGCCUAGGGAGUCACCUGAUUUAAGCUGUGUGAGAUCUCCUAUACUGUGCACUAGCAUGGCAUGCACUGCUUCAGACUGGUAAAGGGAACAACAGCCUGGAAUAAAACAUGGGGGGUUUUGUUUCUUUUGGAAGGAAAGGCAAAGCAGGGCUCCAGUCCAUGCAUAUGACCGGCUUUUUAGUCUGUGUGGAUCUGCUGGCCAGCUUGGGGUUGUUUUAUUUACAGAUCAAGAAUAAUACUUUGCUAAUAAACACAAAGAUGUUCUUCCUUUGUUCCUUUACAAAAUGAAUAGGUCCCACUAAAACAAAACCAAAUGUUUCUACUUUGGGUUAGUUUGGAGCAUGAAUUUUGCUGAGAUUUGUCCUAAUUAGAUUUCUAUUCAUGCAGUAUUUGCAGUCCCAGUCAGAACUGGUAACUAGUGACUAUUCACUAUUAAAUCUCUUAAACCGUAGGCUGGAUCUCUGUUUAUCUGAGUACAUUUUCCCAUCUAUAUCCUUCAGACUGUCACAUCAGAAGUUACCCUUAUGCCAGGACAGCAGUUAAGUGUAUGCAUUACAUUAACAUGUGCUUAAAUCCCAGCUAAGUACAAAUGUAGUAAGAAGCAUCUCCUUUGGUGUUUCCCAGUGCAGAUCCUAUUUUACCUUUUAAAAUGAAAGUUCUAUUUCACGUUGGUUACUUUUCUCCUACCACAAUACUUGAAAAAUCUUGAGUAUUAGUGAAGAGACAGAGUUAGCAAACUAUUCUUUCUGCAUAUAAAGUAAGAUUUUUAUACUGACCUUUUAUUAGCAACUUGACUUUUAUAAAGAUCUGAGAGAGCUGCUACAUACUAAAAACAAACAGAUGGUUUAGAGCCACAUAAAUUCUCACUAUAUGACAAACUAUUACAUUUUCUGAUGGAAGUGUAGGUUUUAAGUCCUUGAUUUUUGGUGUCAGGCACUGCUGUCCAUUCCACGUGCAAACUGAAAUUCUUUGCUGGUACCAUGUGCUUUGCCUCUGCAGAAGUAAGCAGUUUAUCUCCUGUAAUCUCCUGUGCCACAGAAAUUAAUUUGUAUACUCUCUUUGUACCAUAAUAGUGUGUGUUAUUGUUCCCCUUCUCAAGGGGUUCUAAUAUCACAGAAGCACUGGCACCAUAAAAAAAACAGAAGUGGACUUUGUUUGAAAGCUGUCUGAGCAAGUGGCAUGGGGUUAACAGCAUGAUCUCUAAGUGCUGUGGGUUGAGUUAAAUAUGUGCCCUUUAUGAGAAAAUCAAGUGGGCUUGGUGUAGGUGUGAGUAAACUGGUUUGGAUAAACAAGAGCUGAUCAUCAUCUUCUAGAAGAAAACAUUUUAGAUUUCUCUUUUUUUUUUUUUUAAAUUGUUUAACCCUUUCUUUUUUUCAUGCUCAUACUCUGUCCCUAUGGUAUUGAACCUUGCUUGGCAGUACAAGAAAGUUCCUUUUGGUGCACACUAGGUAAUAUGGCUAACACUUGUCACGCACAAUUUAGUUUCACCUCCUUUCUUAUUAGAGGAAAGAAAUUAUGUACCCUCAGUGCACUGUGUUGCUCUGAAAGUCUGUACACUAAAAAAAAAUGUAAAUGGCUGUUUAUUUUAAAAAUUGAGGUAAUGAGUUCUGCUGAGACAGAAAAUUCAAAUUGGUAACCGUAUUUCAUUUCAGAGGUUGAGAUUGCUCUGUAGGUAUCCCAGGCCAGGUCACAGAAAGUAAGAUCCAAGGUGCUAUUUUGCGAGGGUGAGCUUAUUUGCAUGCUAGACUUUAUUCUUGGAGAGGUCUGAAAUAGAAUAUAUGCAUCCAGGAAUUUAAAAAUAUUGCAGACCUCAUCACUACUGCUAUUAAAAAAGACGAGUGAAUGCUCACCUGUUUUCUUUCAUAUAUGAAAGAACCCAAAAAUGCUUCCUGGAGGCAGUGAUGAGCUUCAGAGCACUGUGGUGGAUUCUGCUUAAUUAUCCAGUAUCUCAGAAAGCUGACAAGGAAACGCAAGCUUUUAUGGCUGCAGGUCUUUCCCUAGUGGUUGGAGGGCCUGUAAGAACUUUUGUAUGUCACAUAUUUGGCAAUCGUGGAUCAAGAGAUUUUUGGAGAUCGAGGGUGCCAUUCCCAAUGGAUCACUGGGCACACUCUCCCCUCUCUGUUGGAACUACUCCACUGUGCACUUGGGAUCCCAAGAGCUGUGCAGAUGUGCAUGGAGCCUUGCUGCAGCCCUGUGGUUUGCACACUCACAUGGGGAAGAGGAGGCAGGGAGACUCUGGUUCUGCUCUGCUCCCAGGCAAGCAGCAAGUUAGCUCUCUUCUCGCUUUCUUUCUUUCUGUCCCCACAUUUGGAAUUCCUUGUUGCACAGGGGUCCUGCUUCCUCACAGAAAAUUGGGGUAUCAGAACCUUUUGUGCCCUGGAGUCUGAUGACGGGAGACCUCUUUGGUGAUGAAGAAAAUGUAGGUUUGAACUCUCUGAGGCCAGGGACAGCCCUCAUACAGUUUUCCCUGGUUAAGGAUUCUCACCACUUGCUUCUUAUUAGAAGGCUUUGAUUGUUGGGGCUGCCAUAUAAUGUUUUAAAUGGUGCCCACUCUGCUCUGCGAGGUCAGAGCUGAUUUAACAAAUGUUUAUAUGCAAGAAGAAUUUAGUCCAAAAUAGCUCAAUUCAGGUAGGUAUGAUGAAGAGAUGCUAUACCCAGCAAUUCAGAGCCAAAUAAAAACACCCAAGCAGCUCUGCACUAUUCAUUUUGUGUUCAUGCAAUGCCCUGAAAUUAAAACAACAUACGGUUGAAGUAAUAGUGACGAUCAUUUCUCUGCUUUCCACAGAGCUCUUUCAGAAGAAAGUAAUUUAUUUAAAACUACAGUGUGAUUUAACUUGCCAGACCUUUCUCAGAGCUUAAAUAGAACUGUGAUGAUUAUACAUUUUCAUCUGUCUCAGCAAGAAAACCAUCAAUUAUGCUGGUCUGACCUGCCCCUUCCAGCAAAGGAAGAGAUACAUUUAGAAUAUGUCACCCACCCACACAGAAAAUGUAAUUUGGACUAUCUGGAUGAUGAUUUCUAUGAGGGUCAUUACACUGUACUUCCCUGGCUUCUGCUAAUGUAUUAUGCGUUAUUUUUUUCAUUUUGAUGCACAACUUCAUGCCUCAUUGGGAAUUCAUGUUAGCUUAAACCUGUGAAUUCCUGUAUAGACAAUUCCCUCCCUCUGUCCUCCUCCCCACUAUGGCUUUUGUCUGCUCAUGUAUCUGCCCCCCACACUCCCAGGAAAACUUCUUGCCCUUUCCUAAUUUAACUACUUCUGCUUAAUAUCAUUCAGACCCCAGCCAGGUACCAUCAACCCUUGGCACUGCCAUCUCACCAAGAAACCGAGGGCAAAGACAAGUACCUGCAAUUCAGCAGUGACCGUGGGCUGUGCUGGCUUUGUGGCAUGAGAUUUGUGGCCACAUUUCUUUCUUUUUUUUUUUUAGAAAAUAUGCCAUCUUCUAAUUCCAACAAAUGGUUUUAACAAAAAUUACUUUUUAAAGUACUUUUAAAAAAGAAGUUACUUUUUAAAGUGCAAUACAUGGUUUAUACACUAUAAAAAGAGCACUAAGUAACCAUGUUAUUGUGCUGCCUGCAAACUAAGAAUUAGUGUAGUGUGCAAGAAUUCCCCUGAAGGUACAUAUUUAGUCUAAAAGUGAAGAAUUUGCGUUAAAGGCACUGAAAAAACUACACAUCACCUUGGGGAUGGUUUUUGGAAUUUCUGUAGCAUGUUCAAACAAAACUUGAGAGCUUUUUUUUUUUCUGUUGGUAGAAACUUAGAAGCUGAAAUUUAGAGAAACUUUAGGAUGUUUAAUUUCUGCUUAUUAAAGCUACACAUAUCCCUUUACUACAAAAGUGAGUUAUAUGACUGGCUCAAAACCAAAACUCAUUCUUAAGCAUGCUAGUAAAUUUAUACCACAGCUCAUAGAAAACCUUUAUCAAUUUAGUAUCUCCUGCAGUCUGUGUGACUACACCAAAGCCAUGGACUGGUUGGAUAAGGACUCAGAAAAUGUAUGUAAUUAAAAAAAAACAACACCCUGGCAUGUGGUACUAGUUUGAAGUAAGGCAUUUAUGCCUAGUAAUGACAACUUGAUCAAGGAAGUGUCUUUUGCAAAAUGUCUUCAGCAAAUCAAGAAGCUUGGGAAUGCUGUAGAAAGCAUUUUGAAAAGAUAAGCUAAAAUCUGCUUCUGGAUUUUACUGGAAACCAGUAAAACAAAGUUAGAAAGUAGUUUCAGUUUUGCAUUACAGAUCUCUUAAAAAUGAUAUUGUUGUUCUCCUUGCACUGCUUAACAUUUUCCCUUACAUAUUUUGUACUUUUCAAAAAAUGUUAUUUCUUCCUAACUAACUGCAUUAUUCCUACUUCAGAAUAUUUCUUUCCAGCCCUCUCAGAUAGAUAACUCUCUGUUACCUUUAGUUUAGAAAAAAACUAACCCAUGUUACAAGAGAGGUUUACUACAAAAGGCAAAUCAGAAAACAACCCCAAACCACCUUAUUCCUCUCAGUCUAUUUCUAAUGCUGCUUUGCUGGGACCUCCAAAUCCUUUACCUCCUUGCAGGGUCAGCUGCUGAAGGCCAAGAUUCCCGACCCCACAUCCCAGGACAUUGCGCAUGGCCACACUGCUACAUGCCCUGCAGGUGGAGCCCAGGCUCCCUUCUUCCUUAGGCAUGGGAUAUAGAGGUGAUGCCACCUGGAUGCUGAGUGGAUAAGCAUGAGUUGUUGUGGUACCCGGGUGCAAAAAGCAUGUCUGGAUCUCCUACUGGAGGUGACAUUCACAUCCUCCUGGUCUGAGCCAUGAGGGGCUCCUAAGGCCACUCACCAAAACUGCGCUUUCUCAUAUUCCUUACAGAGAGUGCCAAAGGCUAAUCUUUAGUCUAGUCUAGUCUAGUCUUUGGGCACAGUCUACCAAUACUUCUACAGAUAAACUGGAUGCUUCUCUGCUGUCAUCUCCAGAGAGAUCUUUGGAUUUAGAAGUCUGUCCUGUCUCCUGCUCCUGGGUCCUGCUGGGAAGUGAGUCCUGCUCCUCAAGGUCUCAAGGUGAAAAGCUGUGGGGUGGAUGGAGCCUUACAUUUUUUUCCUGUGGCAGGCUGGCCUCCCGAGCUAGUGGUCAUGGCUGCUUUGGCUUUGCUACAGGCUGUUUCAAUUGUAUCCCUCACAGCUGGUGCUGGUCCACCGCCCAUCUUCAGCCCAACAGGCACAUUUAAGCUGAGGUCUGCCAGGCGUGGCUCUUCUGGGGAGUCAUUUGGAAACUGUGGACCUACAUAUACUGUUUCCAUUUUUUAAUGACUGAAGAAGACAUCCAGGACUCCAUGCUGCUCUUGGGAUGAAAAUUUCACCAGUGAGAAUAGAAGAUAUAAACCACAGAAGACUGAGAAUUUAAAUCUCAAAUUACCAUGUAUUUUGAGAUGCACUUUGGUGGAAAUGUCUUUCCAAAGCAAGGUGAAAGAAGACUUGUCUGACUUAUGUGAUGCCAAUAUUUGACCUUGUACUAUUUGUACCAGGUUGUUCCAUUGGAACUACUCUAAACUUCUCUAAUCUCUCACCUCCCUCAUCUGGACACUCCUCUCCUUCCCACGUAGCCUUAUUUCCAAACAAUCUCUUUCUUCAUAUGCUUCCUGUCCAAAAACUUCUUCAACCAAGCCCAGGAGAACAGAAUUCUCAAGAGCUACAGAAGCACUGCAAGAGAGGCGAGAAAGAUGCGCUCCCACCAAGGCCUCAGUCACUGAAAAAUGAACCCAAAGAGGAAAGACAGCCCAAGGUAACCCAGCCACAUCCUGCUGCAGAGGAGAGCAGAGAAGAUGGCAAGAGAGGUGAGGGUGAGCCAGCUGCAGAAAGAGGGAGCAGGCUCUGCUCUCUGUUGGCAGAGCACUGUCAGAGGAUGUGGGAGCAGCCCUCAGACACCACUAAAUGUACAGCUGCCCCAGCACAGAGUUUGGUGCAAAAUGUUUGCAGAGGCCAGAGCAAAUACUUGUGUAGCUAGCCCAAGAGUGCCAUGCUGUCAGGAUUGUCCAGUUCUGUUACCUCCCAGUGUUUGCAAGGGACACUAUACCCACACAGCCUGCAAUCUCAGCUGGCCAGUACACCUACCCCAUGGAUGCCUUUGGAGCCUACAUAAUUUCAGUAGAUCCUGACUAUGCUGCUGUGGGCCACUGGAAGAAAAAGCCCAUCAGUAAUACAUGCUCCUGUUUUAUCUGCAACAAGUCCCUUCACAUCCCACUUUUUGCAUCAUCCUGCUUUCCGCAGGGCCUUGUCAGGAGUCAGUACAAGACAGUCUUACUGCUGCCCUGCGGUCACACUCACAGCAGUGCCUGCAUCCCCUUCGGGUUAGGGUUUAGAGUUCACAGAGGCGAUGCAGGCUGUUGCAAGACAGACAGUCAGAGUUUGUUUUACUAAUAGAAAUACAAUCUAAACAGCUACAGAUUUUCUGGGCAUUUGUGCACCUCUCUGAGUCUCUUGUGUGGCAGUGGGAAGCUUUGCUGCCUGCGCGGCAUUUGCUCAGGUUUUCCAAGCGGGAAAUGUGCAGCAAAUAAAGGAACUGGGAUGCAAAAGAGUGGCAGCUGCUCCAGGACUGUUAGAGAGGCUCUUUUACAGGCGAAUGAACCGUCAAUUUGUAGUAAGACAUUGUUUUCUAAACAUAGCAUGAAAACUGUUAUCUUGCCUGGCUGGUCAUUAGAAGAGAGAUAAUUAUAGUCUCUGUGCGACAGCCGAGCCCAGAACAGGGGCUGCAUUGUCCCAGGUCCCAGCUGAGCUCUAGCACAGGCUCCCCAGGCAGCGCUGGGACAAGAGGGCUCCUUGUGCCCCGGCAAGUUCAAAAGAGGAAUUGAAGUGCUCUAAGUAGGUGUUAAGCACCUAUUUCUCUCUCCUACUCCGGAGUUAAAAACUACUCCACGGGAGAAAGGUGCGGAGGGCUGUAGCUGCAUCCUCCCUGGCCUUAUGUAGAAUACAUGCUAUGAUUAUUAUUUUUCUUUUUUUUACUAAAAAAAAAAAAAAAGCCCUAAAGCUUCAGUUUUGCGUUUAUUUUUGUUUUGUUAUGUGUUUCUGUUUUCCAACACAGAUCAAUGAGACCCGUAUGAUGAUAGGCUUUCAGAAGGAAGGACUAUGUUCAGCGUCCACUUCCUGAGCCCUGAAUGGAAGGUCUAAACUCAAUUUAUGCUGUCGUAUGCCAGAGAAGUCCUGGUGUACGCAGAACUUCAGGGGGUGAGAAUAUCCCCCAGGACCAUCAGGAAAUCCCAGACUGUUGCUUUUCACCACCCAUCCAGAAAAGACAAUGCCAUCCCACCCAAUUACAAUGGGCCAACACACUCCUCAUUGCUCUGGCACCUACUCAUGCCAGUACCAUUGUGUGGAGAGUUCAUGUCUGUGAGUGCCAGACCUUUUUUUCUCA